UGAGAAUGUGGAAGGAGCCUGCUGGAGACUGCUGGUUGCCUUCCAGCAUCCACUGCCGCUUCUCUCUCUCC
rnacentral:miRNA from 1 species